UCGAACUGCUAUACUGACUGGUGUCAUGUUGCUGUUAUCUCUCCUGUUGAUGUUGAUUGUUUUCAAAGAUAGUAGAUGUAUAACUAUAGAGAUGUCACCUCUCUCACAAGCCCACAUCAGACAAUCUCUGCCCCUGUUAUCUGUAAUUGACAGAUCAGCUCCCUCUGACACAAGAAGGUGAUAAACAUCAGAGUGUCCGGCUUGAACUGCUAUAAUGACUGGUGUCAUGUUGUCGUGAUCUCUACUGUUGAUGUUGAUUUUGUACAAAGAUAGUAGAUGCCUAACUAUAGAGAUGCCAC